GUAUUUUCGGCCACUUAAAGUGCUGAAGGACAAAAAUUAAAAACCAGCAAUUUGAGGGGUAAAAAUUAAAGACCACCCCUUAUUGCAUUUGUGCGAAUGACCCAGGCAUUGGGAUACAGAGAGGCUUUCUUAAUUAUACUUACCUAAAUUAUCUCCAGAUUUGAAUGUUUGAUUAGCAGCCCACUUCUGGUAACCAGCUUUUCCACCAGGAAUAUUCCAUCCAAAAUCACCACCAACAUUAUGUGUUUCUGCAGCACCACAACUUAUAACGCACACUAAAACCAAAAUAAAACUAACAAA